GAUGAACGCUGGCGGCGUGCCUAAUACAUGCAAGUCGAGCGAACAGACGAGGAGCUUGCUCCUCUGACGUUAGCGGCGGACGGGUGAGUAACACGUGGAUAACCUACCUAUAAGACUGGGAUAACUUCGGGAAACCGGAGCUCAUACCGGAUAAUAUAUUGAACCGCAUGGUUCAAUAGUGAAAGACGGCUUUGCUGUCACUUAUAGAUGGAUCCGCGCCGCAUUAGCUAGUUGGUAAGGUAACGGCUUACCAAGGCAACGAUGCGUAGCCGACCUGAGAGGAUGAUCGGCCACACUGGGACUGAGACACGGUCCAGACUCCUACGGGAGGCAGCAGUAGGGAAUCUUCCGCAAUGGGCGAAAGCCUGACGGAGCAACGCCGCGUGAGUGAUGAAGGUCUUCGGAUCGUAAAACUCUGUUAUUAGGGAAGAACAAAUGUGUAAGUAACUAUGCACGUCUUGACGGUACCUAAACAGAAAGCCACGGCUAACUACGUG
rnacentral:rRNA from 1 species